rnacentral:rRNA from 1 species
CAUGCAAGUCGAGCGGUAACAGACAUAAAGAUUCAGCUUGCUGAAUCCGGUGCUGACGAGCGGCGAACGGGUGAGUAACGCGUAGGAAUCUACCCAGUAGCGGGGGAUAGCCCGGGGAAACCCGGAUUAAUACCGCAUACGCCCUAAGGGGGAAAGGGGGCAGCUUGCUGCUCUCACUAUUGGAUGAGCCUGCGUAAGAUUAGCUUGUUGGUGGGGUAAAGGCCUACCAAGGCAACGAUCUUUAGCUGGUCUGAGAGGACGAUCAGCCACAUUGGGACUGAGACACGGCCCAGACAUCUACGGAUGGCAGCAGUUAAGAAUAUUGGACAAUGGGGGCAACCCUGAUCCAGGUAUACCGCGUGUGUGAAGAAGGCCCUAGGGUUGUAAAGCACUUUAAUCAGAGAAGAAGCAUUUUAAGUUAAUACCUUAUUAUGUUGACGUUACCUGAAGAAUAAGGACCGGCUAACUCCGUGCCAGCAGCCGCGGUAAUACGGAGGGUCCAAGCGUUAAUCGGAAUUACUGGGCGUAAAGCGCGCGUAGGCGGUUUAACAAGUUGAAUGUGAAAGCCCUGGGCUCAACCUAGGAACUGCAUUCAAAACUAUUAAGCUAGAGUACGAGAGAGGAGAGUAGAAUUUCUGGUGUAGCGGUGAAAUGCGUAGAUAUCAGAAGGAAUACCAAUGGCGAAGGCAGCUCUCUGGCUCGUCACUGACGCUAAGGUGCGAAAGCGUGGGUAGCAAACAGGAUUAGAUACCCUGGUAGUCCACGCCGUAAACGAUGAGAACUAGCCGUUGGGCAGAUUUAACUGUUCAGUGGCGCAGCUAACGCAUUAAGUUC